rnacentral:rRNA from 1 species
UACGUAGGGCGCAAGCGUUAUCCGGAAUUAUUGGGCGUAAAGAGCUCGUAGGCGGUUUGUCGCGUCUGCCGUGAAAGUCCGGGGCUCAACUCCGGAUCUGCGGUGGGUACGGGCAGACUAGAGUGAUGUAGGGGAGACUGGAAUUCCUGGUGUAGCGGUGAAAUGCGCAGAUAUCAGGAGGAACACCGAUGGCGAAGGAUGAGUCUGUGGAUUAACUGACGCUGAGGAGCGAAAGCAUGGGGAGCGAACAGG